AUUGAACGCUGGCGGCAUGCCUUACACAUGCAAGUCGAACGGCAGCACGGGAGCAAUCCUGGUGGCGAGUGGCGAACGGGUGAGUAAUAUAUCGGAACGUGCCCGGUCGUGGGGAUAACGUAGCGAAAGCUACGCUAAUACCGCAUACGAUCUACGGAUGAAAGCGGGGGAUCGCAAGACCUCGCGCGAUUGGAGCGGCCGAUAUCAGAUUAGGUAGUUGGUGAGGUAAAGGACUCACCAAGCCGACGAUCUGUAGCUGGUCUGAGAGGACGACCAGCCACACUGGGACUGAGACACGGCCCAGACUCCUACGGGAGGCAGCAGUGGGGAAUUUUGGACAAUGGGCGCAAGCCUGAUCCAGCAAUGCCGCGUGCAGGAUGAAGGCCUCGGUU
rnacentral:rRNA from 1 species